rnacentral:rRNA from 1 species
UACGUAGGGGGCAAGCGUUGUCCGGAAUCAUUGGGCGUAAAGAGCGUGUAGGCGGCCCGAUAAGUCCGCUGUGAAAGUCCAGGGCUCAACCCUGGGAUGCCGGUGGAUACUGUCGGGCUCGAGUCCGGAAGAGGAGUGUGGAAUUCCUGGUGUAGCGGUGAAAUGCGCAGAGAUCGGGAGGAACACCCGUAGCGAAGGCGGCACUCUGGGCCGAUACUGACGCUGAGGAGCGAAAGCGUGGGGAGCGAACAGG